rnacentral:lncRNA from 1 species
GAAUGAUUGACUGAAUAGCUGGUGAAUUGUUUUAUUAUGCAGUGACACUCCUAUAUAUUGAUAGAUAAAAUAUUUCCCAACUCAAUGAUUUGAUUCAGGGGGGGGGGGGGGGGGGGGGGGGGGUAGACCAGCUUUAAUAGUGCAGAUAGAUUGUAGCUUCCAUCAAUGUAAUUGUCUGUAUCAUUUCCAAUCCCUCAUAUAUUGUUUUGUAAAUAUAUAUACAGUUCCAGUCAAAGGUUUGGACACACCUACUGUACUCAUUCCAGGGUUUUUACAUUUUUUAAAAGUCAUUUUCUACAUUGUAAAAUAAUAGUAAAAGACAUCAAAACUAUGAAAUAACAUAUGGAAUCAUGUAGUAACCAAAAAAGCGUUAAUAAACAAAUCAAAAUCUAUUUUAGAUAUUAGAUUCUUCAAAGUAGCCACUCUUUGCCUUGAUGACAGCUUUGCACUCUUGGCGCUCUCUCAACCAGCUUCAUGAGGUAGUCACCUGGAAUGCAUUUCAAAUCUUUUGUUUUUAAUCCCAUCCUUCAGCUACCAUCAACCCCUCCCAUCUACCAUUCAGAACAGAGGCGUGAUGAGUCUGGAGGAUCUAUGUGACCAUGACAACGAGGAGUUCAAACAAAUCCACAAUGACUACAGGGGGGUGAAGCUAUGGAAAAUCUCUCAUGGCAGGACUCAUGGCCCUCAAUAUACUGGAGAACUUUCCCAUCAAAGGUACACUCCUCACCUUAGCUAUGGCUCAACAAUAAAGGACAACCCCAGCUAUGUAUUGGUUUGUGGUGAAGAGCAUGGCUACAUUCAACUCCAUUGAGAGAAUGUGUUAAUUACUUACAGCUCGAUUGUUCCAUUGUUGCUUUGAUAGGAAUCAAAAAGAAAUGACCACAUAAGGCCACCUGUUAGUCUCAGUGAGGAUCUUGGGUUGACCCGUCUCGGCGUUCCACAACAAACAGCCAACCCUGGGUCUGCUCCAGAACCGGUGGUAAGAAACACUGGUCUGUUCAAUGCAACCCAAGAAGGUGCUACCUAGAACCGUAAAGGGUUCUUCAAUUGUCCCCCAUAGGAGAUCCUUCAGAAAAUAACAAUUUUUGGUUCCAAGUGGAACCCUUCCACUAAUACAAGGUUCUAAAUGGAACCCUUUCGCUACUAAAAAGGUUCUGAGUAGAAUAAUGGAGACCACCAAAGGGUUCUAUCUGUGGUAUAAAAGAUUUGUACUCGGAACCGUUUCUUAUCCUUUUGAGACAAACAAAUAAAAAGUGUCUCUGUGCUCUGGUUCAGAACAGUGGAGUUACCUCCGUGUGGUGGCUGAGGCCCUGAGCCUGGCUGAUACAGUCCAUUACUGUGCCGACCCAGACCAUGUUAAAAUCCCUCUGUAGCAGUGAAGGCUCCUCGGAGGAGGAAGGGGAGGACCAUCUUCCUCAGUGAAUUUUAUUUAAAAAAUUAAAA